AGAUAAACUAAGAUGAAGAGGAGUAGUGAAAUUACUUACUAUAAAGAGAAAGAAAUUUAUAAGCUGGGAGAUUUCUUAGUAAAGUGUUCAUGAAGGUAGCUUCGGAGUUUUUCUGGUGAAUCAGAAGUAGUCAGAAACGGAAAAUAACCGUUAUUAUAAAAGAGCUAAAAUUAUUAUUUUAGAACUAAGGUGGUACCGCGCAUAGUCGUCCUUUUG
rnacentral:ncRNA from 1 species